GAUGGUUCUGGAGGGGUUUUGGUGGGUUCUGAAGGGCUCUUAAGGGUUUUGUAGGGCUCUUAAGGGAUCUGGAGGGUUUGGAUGGUUCCGUAUGGGUUCUGGUGGGUUUUGGAUGAUUUUGGAGGGUUGUGGACAGAACAAACAUGAUUUCCUGAGCUGCAUCGGGCCGGCUGAAUCGAUCUGGGCCGCUCUCACGCUGAGGCUGAGAUGGAGAGAGCUUUCUUCUGAGACUAAAGGAGAAACUCAGAGUUUACUGGGAGAGAAAAUUAACCACAAGUUUGUUUCCUAAAAGUCGCUGCCGCCUUAAAGCUUUCGAAAUCAGCAAUUAGUGAGACUGGAAAAUUCAUAUUUUCAGGCUUAUCGUAAUCUUUAGACAUAAAGAUGUUUUCAUGUUUAGUCCACUUCCUCUGUCAAACACAUCCAGAGGAAAUGAGUUUUCAGUGAUUUGCUUUGCUAAAGUGUUCCUGCCUUUACGGUUUCUAACAGGAAUCACAGCAAGCGCCUUUUUCCAGCCCGAUUUCUAAAUGGCGUCUCAUUUAAAACUGGGUGAGAUUUGCAUAUAGAGCAAACAUUUUCAAACAGUUUCCUGCAGAUCUGUGGAACGCUCUCCCAACAUGUUUCCCCGCUGCUGAUUCCUAACUCUAACUCAUUUUUCUUUUGCCAAAUACUGACUGACUGGAGUAAAGUCAGAGGUUUGCAUCUCAUAAAUUUUCAACCAAUGUCAUCAAAACAUCUAAAUGUUCAACAAAACUAAAGUUGAACCCCUGCGGUUCUCCAGAGGAUCGGGUUGUUUGAUAAGGGAAGGGUCCAUGACAGUUUGAACUGUAUCAUCUUAUUCCCAGCGGUGUGAAAUUAGAUAUGCACAUCACUGCAGCCUGGGAGAAGCAAUUCAAUUUUCCCCACAGUGGGCUCUGUCUGAAGACGUGAAAUAAAUGCUGCUAGAAUUAGAAAUCAAAUUAUGUCCCAGAUCCCCGCAGGCUCGGAGGAGGCGGGUGGUCAACAGUUGUAUGGAUACGGAGUCGUGCUCUUCUUCCAAGUCUGUGUCAGUUCUGUCCUGGAAUCCUCCGCUCCCCCUGCGACCGAGAGACAACAUCGAGCUCCCAAAUAUUGGAAAGAAAACACUCAUUUUGACACAAAAGCCCAACACGGUUCACAGUAAUUUACAUGCGGUAAACAAGUAAAACAAGUAGAGAGACGUCUUACUUAUAAGCAGAAACACCAAACGUUUGACAGGAAGCCAACACUUCAAGGAAUAUUUCAGUAGAGAAUGAAAAUUCUGAUUAUCCGUCUUUAUCAAACCACUGAAGGUUAAAUCACUUCGAAUUACUUUGCAGAAAUGAUCAGAUCAAACAGCCAUUUAUGAAUGUCCAACUCUUUGGUAAAUCUAUUUCACAGAGAAAUGCUUUAAUUUUACAGCAUUUUUAGCUCAUGAUUCAACCAAACUUGUCAAUGAACAUUAGCUUAGUUGACGUUUUUGAAUUAAGUCCACAUUAGAAGCUUCUAAAAUAAACUACUUUAUAUUUUAUUGUACAGUUGUGGAUAGAGUCUGUAAAAAAUAAGCAUAUCAGCUGAUUAUCAUUUUAGUGUCACUUAAAUUUUCUUGGAAUUUAAAAACUUCAUUUGUUGUUUUGUUGAUAGUUAUUAUUGAUCCGUUAUAGAAAACUGCACCCAGAUUGGUUUCAGUUUGUAUUUAUUUACACUGGACCUGACUAAUUUCACCAGAAUUAAUUAUUUAGUAAAGUGCAGAUAGAUGAUAUUUGUGCUAACCAGUGGUGGGCACCCUUCUGCUAAUCUGCUAAUAGCAGAUCUGAUGUUUCAUUUAGCACUUUUGCUAACUUUGAAAACAUUUAGCUCACUUUCCCUAAAUUCAUUUGUUCAUAUAGAUUCUAAAGGGAUAAUUUACUUGGCUGUUUGGGAAAGUUUAAUUAAAUAAAGUUCAACAUGUGUUGAACUUUUAGUCAUAGACAGUUUAAAACUCUUCCAGUAGUUAGACGUUUAUAUUCAUGCUCUUACUUUGAAGUGGGCGAAGACUGUUUACGCAGCAACUGUUUCCUUUCCUCAGGGGCAGAUAUAAUAUGAAUUGACGUUAGCGCUUUAGCAUUAGCUCCCUCUAAAUACCAUGUCGGUGUAGCACUUCACCAAUAGCAGAAGGGUUAUGACUAGCCCCUUAGGGUUAGCACAGCUAACAUUUUAGCUAGCGGUGCCCACCACCAAUGCUAACACUUUCUGUUGAUCUCAUUGAAAUUAUGCUAGGAGGUUAUUUUGAAUUGGGGCUAAAUUUGAUUUUCUUACAUUUGCAACCUUUGUGCAUAAUCAAACACGCAGUGGAACUUUCAUUAUAGAGUGAAAUAUUCACACUCAAGUGAGAUGGACUCCUGACAUGGGAAGCCAUUAGCUAUAAACUAAAUAGAUUCUCUCUGAGGUUCUGAGUCCAAAACUCCUUCGACUUUGAGAAGGAAUUAUUCCUGAUACCCUCUGUGACUUUCACUGCAAAAACACAAAAUCUUACCAAGUAGCUUUGCCCAGUUUCUACAGAAAAUAUCUUAGUACAGUUGAAUUAAGGCAAAAUUAAUUUGCAGGCAAUUUUUCAACAAGAUAUAGGAGCUUGUUCUAGGUCAAUAAUUCACGAAUAUUGCUUAAAAAAAGUACAACUGAUGGAUUAAAUGUCUUGUUUGAAAUGAAAUAAUCUGCCAUUAGGACCAGAACUUUUUCAUCAAUGUUAGAACAGAAUAUUCUUUUUCUGUCCCUUAGAGGACAUUUGUCAUGAACUCAAGUGUGUAUAUUACAUAAUAUCAGCUGCCUAAAGAGACAAUUUUCAUAUAAACAGUUAGAAAUGUAGACUUCAGACAACAGAACACCAAAGUUAUUUCACAUCUUCCAUGGCCUCAACAUGUUGUCUAUUUAAAAUUGAGAUUCCAAAGUUUGAUGAACGUAGUGCAAAGAAGUACAUAAAAUGGUUCCAUUUUAAUUUUUGGGAUUC